AACGAACGCUGGCGGCAUGCCUAACACAUGCAAGUCGAACGAAACCUUCGGGUCUAGUGGCGCAUGGGUUCGUAACGCGUGGGAACCUGCACUUAGGUUUGGAAUAACUCAGAGACAUGUGAGCUAAUACCGGAUGAUGUCUUCGGACCAAAGAUUUAUCGCCCUUAGAGGGGCGCGCGUUGGAUUCGCUCGUUGUGUGGGUAAAGGCCUACCAAGGCGAGGAUCCAUAGCUGGUCUGUGAGGAUGAUCAGCAACACUGAGACUGAGAGACGGCCCGGACUCCUACGGGAGGCAGCAGUGGGGAAUAUUGGACAAUGGGCGGAGGCAUGAUCCAGCACGGACGGGUGAGUGAUGAUGGCCUUAGGGUUGUAAAGCGUUUUUACCCGAGAUGAUAAUGACGGUAUCGGGAGAAUAAGCUCCGGCUAACUACGUG
rnacentral:rRNA from 1 species